AGUUCAAAUUCCACUAUCUGUCAUGGCGUGAUUCAAACCUGAGUCCGCAGAACAUUAGCUGAGUUUCUAGUUUAAUAGUUAAGCAACAAUACCGCUAGGCCAUCAUCUCCCACUUAUUUGAGGGUCCAUGAUACAGGGAGUGUUGUACUAUUGGUGUGUAAUGUUGAGGAAUGAUGCUGUGACCUUUUACAAUGAGUUAGAUAAGGUUGGUUAAUAUGUCAUUGUUCAUAGAGUGUUACUAUUGGCCAAUCAGCAUCAAGUCCACCAUAAUUUAAGGAAUGACCAGACUAGGAUAUAAUUGCCACUGGAUGUCUAUAACAAUGGACAAUGGACAAUCUGUCACUAAACUGUGGUAACUGCCAAAAUCAGCAUGAGGCUAACAAAGUAAUUAAUAAUGAGGAACUAUUCCCCUUGCCUGCCCCUCUGGUGCCAGUAAUUUAAUCCAUAUUCUCAUUGCUUGGCUAAUUACUCUUUAACCAGCUGUGAACAGAAACUUGAGUCGCUGACAUAUUAAAUCAGACAAGCAGAGUGAAUGGUUGAAUCCCUGGUGAGUAUUCAGCGAAAUGCUUCGUAUACCAUCACAGUCGCAUGGAGGCGGAAGACCCGACUCUGCAACAUAGAUUCUGUGCAAGUGUAGUCAGGCAAUGUAGAUCAAAACAAUGUGUAAAGACACUUUUGUUUUAUGGACUGUGUGCUACAAAAUUGGAAAAGAUAUUACUUCAAACCAAGGAAACUGUGGAAGAAGAUGUUUGCAGUUUUAGUAAUAAGUUACUGGAGGGCAAGGAAAAGCGGGGAUAAAAAAAUCUUCAGAGGACAUGAGAUGUCGAAUCCUCAGUCAGUGACUGAAAGACUGCGUAUCGGUGCAUCUACAACCUCAAGUCAUCAGCAAAGAAUUGGAAGAAAGUCAUCAAGAGAAAAUCGAAAUAAAAUAAUUCAUUGACAUCUGUAGUUUGGACAGAUGCCAGAACUCUCUCACUAUUUUUCCUCUUCACCCCUUAAGCUUUUGUCUUGUCUUGUCUUGUCUCUGUGUGUCUAUUGCACGUUUAUGGAAAUUUUUUAAAGGGGUCGGAGUUUAAGAUAUAAAAUUAUAGAUCAACAAUUCAUGUCUGCUUCUUUACAUUGGUUAAAAGUUUGAUUGAAAUAAAUGGUGAUUUUCUUGUCAAUAAAAAA